UACGUAGGGGGCUAGCGUUGUCCGGAAUCAUUGGGCGUAAAGAGCGUGUAGGCGGCCCGGUAAGUCCGCUGUGAAAGUCGGGGGCUCAACCCUCGAAUGCCGGUGGAUACUGUCGGGCUAGAGUGCGGAAGAGGCGAGUGGAAUUCCUGGUGUAGCGGUGAAAUGCGCAGAUAUCAGGAAGAACACCUAUGGCGAAAGCAGCUCUCUGGGACGGUACUGACGCUGAGACGCGAAAGCGUGGGGAGCGAACAGG
rnacentral:rRNA from 1 species